rnacentral:tRNA from 1 species
GGAAUUGUGCCCGAACUAAGGAUUACUUUGAUAGAGUAAACUAUAGAGGUUUAAACCCUCUCUUUUCCU